AUGUGCAAAAGACGCUCGCCAUGUACUAAGCAUCCCGCUGAGGGAGGGGUGGAUGACUUCAUAACGUGGCAUUUUGAUAGCAAGGGUAACCACUCGAUGAAGAGUGCCUACAAACUUCAGGUCGAGUUAACUAAACAUGGAAAGAACGGAGCACCGAGUUCAAGCUCUUCUGGAGCCGGCCAACUAGAAAGAACCAAAGAUCUGACUUGGAAGCGCAUAUGGAAGCUACCGUGCCCGCCGAAAUUCCAGAUGUUUGUAUGGAGAAUUAGGCAUGAGUCCCUGGCCCUAUGUGCUAACCUAGUGAGAAGGGGUAUACCACAAGAGAAAUCAAGUUGUUUCCUAGGCGGCAGAGGAGAGGAGGAUGGCGGGCACCUCUUUAUAAAAUGCAAGUGGGUUAAGGAAGUGUGGCGGCAGCUGGGCUUGGAGCUCGGACGUAGCCAACUCGAAUGCAUCAAGGGCAUGCAUGCAAUGCUAGACGCUUUGUGGGGAUUAAUGAUAAGAAAUGGGUCCUCAUUAUUACCCUAUGGUGUGCAGUGGUGGAACCAGAGAAAAAAAGUACGUGAAGGUGAGCUGUCAGUGCAAGUGCCAGAACUAGUUAGACACAUCCGAUGCAAUGCAUUGGAGUACGAGGAAGACUUUACACCGGUGAAGAGGAAGCUACCCUCUAGGGCAUGGAAGCCGCCCGGUAUAGAGAUGCUCAAGUUCAGCCACGACGGAGCUUUCGUCCCUAGAAGUUCAAAUGGCGGAUGGGGUGUGAUCGCUCGUGAUAGCACUGUACAAGUAAUAGUUGCUCGAGCUGGACGCUAG
rnacentral:rRNA from 1 species